rnacentral:rRNA from 1 species
UUGGAUUCAAGUCCGCCCGGUUGCACAGGCCACCUGGCCCUACCAGAUGGUGCUGGUCGCCCGCGGUGAUUCAUUUUGCUUGUGGUGUCGUUCCCAGCAAUCACUCGGUGGGGUGGUGUUGCUCUUGUACCGGAGGAGUGCACUUCCUCCCUAGUAGAAACGUCGCGACCCGUUGGGUGCCGGUCUAAGGCCUGGGAUGGUAGCCCGUGUGUCCUGUGGGGUUCUCUCACAGGCGUGCGGACUCCUGGUGUCCCGGCCGGCUGCCCGACGGUAUGACCUGAGGAGUCGAUCCGCUGAAUGGGAAACACUUUGGUUGUGUAGCGUCCGGCCCGACGCCGACACGUGUGGGGAUUGAGGUGUAAACCGGGGGUGUCCGUGCGAAGCACGGCCCCGGCCCCACUGCGCUGCCGGUUAUGUUGGUGUCCUCGGACUGGAUCGAUACUCCCGUCUGCGACGCCCACCUUCGGAUGGUCUCCCG